rnacentral:rRNA from 1 species
AUUGAACGCUGGCGGCAUGCCUUACACAUGCAAGUCGAGCGGCAGCGCGGGGGCAACCCUGGCGGCGAGCGGCGAACGGGUGAGUAAUGCAUCGGAACGUGUCCUCUUGUGGGGGAUAACCAGUCGAAAGACUGGCUAAUACCGCAUGAGCUCGUAAGAGGAAAGCAGGGGACCCGCAAGGGCCUUGCGCGAGAGGAGCGGCCGAUGCCCGAUUAGCAGUUGGUGGGUAAAAGCCUACCAAGGCGACGAUCGGUAGCUGGUCUGAGAGGACGGCCAGCCACACUGGGACUGAGACACGGCCCAGACUCCUACGGGAGGCAGCAGUGGGGAAUUUUGGACAAUGGGGGCAACCCUGAUCCAGCCAUGCCGCGUGUGUGAAGAAGGCCU